rnacentral:tRNA from 1 species
GGGGAUGUAGCUCAAUUGGUAGAGAAAAAACAAACGCUUGUGUUAAGUUCGGGGUUCGAUUCCUCGCAUCUCCA